rnacentral:rRNA from 1 species
UACGUAGGUGGCAAGCGUUAUCCGGAUUUACUGGGUGCAAAGGGCGUGUAGGCGGGGACGCAAGUCAGAUGUGAAAACCACGGGCUCAACCUGUGGCCUGCAUUUGAAACUGUGUUUCUUGAGUACUGGAGAGGCAGACGGAAUUCCUAGUGUAGCGGUGAAAUGCGUAGAUAUUAGGAGGAACACCAGUGGCGAAGGCGGUCUGCUGGACAGCAACUGACGCUGAGGCGCGAAAGCGUGGGGAGCAAACAGG